UCACCCAGGAUACGGAGCUAUGGAAAUGCAAAAUGUGUUCUCCAGAAACACAGAGAAGAAGGAGAAGCAGCAGGCUGUCUUCUCUCGGGUAAUGUAUAUUCAGUCUUGCCCCAAGACUGUUCAUUCUCCCACUCUCUGUAACAGGAUAGCCCAAAGGGGUUUGAACCAUCUAGAUAUGCCACAAAAUGCACACUGAUUUCCUAUAUUAAAGGAGAGUGAAGUGGGUCCCUUGGUCCAAGCCGACGUCGUGUGGUCUCCCAUGGUGUGAAUCAGAUACUCUAUGGCCUCUGUCAGAAGACCACAUCACCUGUCCUCAGCUCAAGGGACCCACUUCACAGCAAAAGAAGGAUCGCAGUGGUCAUGUGACUUUGCGAUCCACUGCUCUACACAAACUGUGCCAUCCAGAAGAUGUUAACCUCAGAUGGCAGUGGGAUGGGACCCUGAAAAAAUGCAUCAGCUUCACUAGCUUGGGAAUGACACCCUGUGAGAUGGGACAGUAUUCUUCAGGAUGUCAUUUACUCCUUAAUGAUGGCAAUGGCCUUUAUGUGAUGCUGUGCUCCCAAUGGGUAGAAGACAUGGGUUUGGAAAUCUAGUAGGAGUGGCCAAGCUCACUGUCACAGGUGGUGACCAAGGGAAUUUGGGCUUCUUGUGCUUGCAACUUUAGGCUCUGUGGGUCUAGAUGUCUUGAUUCUUGGGCAGGAACAAAGAAUUCCACUAACCUUAAAGCUAUGGCUGCUGCAUGGCCACCAGGGCUUCUCAUGCCUGUAGACCAGGAGGCCUGGGACGAAAUUGACAUAACCGGAAGGGCUGAUCCUAUUUAAUCAGGACAUGAGGAAUAUGCGUGGCACUGAGGUGGCCCACUAAGACACCUGUGGUGUUCCCCUACAUGUAGCCUGAGAAGACCAUGGAAACCAGGGGCUCAGUCGUGGAAGGAUGAAGGUCUAGGUCAUCCCAACCCGCAGAAGUGCUAGUUGAGCGUGAAGGGAAUCUAGAAUGGGUGGCAAGGAAGGAGGGAGACAGUGAGUAUCGGUUACCACCUUUGGGACCAAUUGUGGCAGCCAGAGGCUGCGUUUGUCUCAGGAAUCUCCUUUUGUAAAUCUCCCCAGGAAUUGUGGCCCGGGAGAAUCCCAGAAAGCCUGUGCGUGCAUGGAAUGAACUUAAUGUAAGGGGCAGAUGGGCUGGGUCAGCUUCAUGGGCGUGCAAACAUGUGUACUUACAGAGGGUACCACACUCAGAAGGGACCCCAUGUUUGGCUUAAUGCUCUGCCGUCACCAUCUUGAGAUAAUUAAUAAUUUUAUGUUUGAAAUUGUUUUGUGAGUGAAGUCUCUUGGGACAAUGGUGUGUGCGCAUGAGCAGAAGAGACAUGCCCCCUAUGUGUGUGCUUCCUUGCCCCCAUUUGCAAAUAGCGCACAUGAUGCCGGUGAACACAGCAUUCCAGUGGACCUACUAUGCGCACAUGUUCAGUGAAACUAAGAGUGCAUAUAAGGUAAGUGGGUUAUGCUGAUGCCUGAGUAAGCAGGGUGCUGACAGCUCCAAGAAGCCAGGCUUUUUCUGUUCCAACCAGAACUUGCUUUGAAAGCAGAAAGAAGGCAAAGGCAUUCUGAGAAAGAUGUUUUUCAUGCUGCUUCCCUGUAUUAGCCAGUUGCAUACACCAAAGGAUGACCGGAAGGAAAGAAAGAUAGGGCGACUCCUGGUUGUCUUUCUUGCAGCCCUCCCUUACUGGUUAGUAUGCUGAAGGUAGGGAGUGUUGGUAGGACACAUACCGAGGAGUGAAACAGAAACAGUUGUGUUCAUUUUGCACAUUCCAUUGUUCUGGGAAGGCCAGAAUACAUAUGCAUUUAUAACUACAAAAUACAACCCGUGUAAUUUCAGUCAUUUGACAUGAGCCAAACGCCCUUAUGUUUGCAGUGAAAAUUGCACGAUAUAAAGAUGCAUGGUACCAUUCGUGCCAGUAAUUUAUAUUUUUAAUAUUUCUUUACUUCAAACGACAUUAGACAGCAAAUAAAAGAACACCGGGAAGUCAAGAGACUAUGGAAGAAAGUAAGAUGCUAUAUGUUUCAGUGUCUUCAAUGUUCUUUUUCCCUAAGUUUUGAACAAAGGGCCCGGCAUGUGGGGCUGAGCAUGCAAAGAGUGGACGCCAGCCCUCGCUGUGAGUGCACUGCCGGGUCCCCUCGGCUAGGCCACACUCUCCAGCCACCAGCUGCUGUGACACACCUCCCCUCUCUUGAGAACUGCCCUUGGAUCAGAGUCACCUCACCUGGGAGCUUGCCAGCAUCUGCCCUGGGAGCCCACAACCAUGACAGGCUGAUGGACACAACAGGCCUGCCCUUGACCCUCAAUGGGGGACAAUUCUGUUGUGCCAUUUAUGCUUCCAACCUUUGCAGGGGAUCAGGCCAAGGCUACAUCUAUCCCAGACUUCAUCCUUGCCUCACUUUCCCCUCCCGAGCCUCCUGCCCUCCCUCCCCUACAGACUUCUCCUGAUGAGUGUUCCUUCCCCUCCGUAAGGCACAUGCACCCACGUCUCUGUUGCAAUGUCUGUUUCCAGGGAACCCAUACACAUUUAUACAAACCGAAACAAAGUUUUCACCAAGAAAAUAUGCCCUUGUUUUGUAUUCCUCUGUUGUACUAAGCUGGGCCCAGCCAAUUGAUUUCAUAACCUACUUACUAACAGGCAGGACCCGCAGUUUGAAGAUUACGGAUCUGUGUGACCCCAGAGAUGGAAACAAUGAACUAUGUCCAGAUGUUGGAGUAGGAAGAUAAAUCUGGAUUGGGUUGUAAGGGAUGAGUAGAAGUUUUACAAAUCAAGAAAUAAUACAGAGGUGGUCAUUUCAGACAAGAGUCAGGAGAGUAGUUUGUGGAUAUUUAGAGCUGUGUUUCUCAAAGAACAGUCAUGGACCACCUGUAUCAGAAUCACUUUGGGGUGCGUGGCAAACAUGCAGAUUUCUUGACCAGUCCCAGACUCUCUGAUUUGGAUCUUGAGGGUAAGAACCUGCUUUCUAAAUGAGCCCCCUAGUCAGUGCUUCUGCACAGUAAAAUUUGAGGUUCGCUUAUCUGUUCUAUAGAGAGCCAGGAGAUGGGAGUAGUGACUCAUUCCCCACUCUUCUCUUUCAGAUGGACUCAGAAUGAGAAGCCCAGAGAGUCAGAGAAGGCUUCAUGGGCAUGUGGUGUGGGCACAGGAACAGGUAGACAAAAGAGCAAGUCCGCCAUGAUUGGUGUGCAUGGACCUGGGGACGAGGAACACCAGCCAGGAAGCCUUCUCUGAUCCUCUCACCUAGAGGCAGGACAGACGACGGCCAUGGAGAAGUGGUUUACCUCACUCUGCUCAUCAGCACGUACACUCUGCUUCUGAUUUCUCUUCAGUAUUAUCGUGCCUUUGUCAACUAUGAAAUCACUCCCUUGUUGCUGGAAGUACACAUCACACGUAGGCAAAGCUGUUGCUGCUAUCUUAAAAAGAAAAGAAAUUACAGCGUCAGUAACCCACAGAAGUUCCAAUUGUACCACAGUGCAAGCGUUUUGGGUUAUCGGAUAACUUAAAAGGUGCCCUACUUGUUCGUCAAGAGCAUGCAGCCCUCGGGUCAGCGGAGGCCCGCUUCAGGAACUCGCUUAUUUUAGUGAUUCUCAGCCACACUCUCUGUCCAGCUGCCUGACCUCUGCGAUGAGGAACCUCAGAUAGGCCACGCUGGAUUAUGUCCGUGUGUCCAACACAAAAUUAGAAACCAUUUUAUUGAUUUUAUGCAGAAAGCCUAUUAUGGAAUUAGCUUUAUACUACACUGUAUCAAAUUCCACACUAUGUUAAAUCCAAUCAAUGUUAAGUUUUGUGACCACAGGUAGUUUCUAUAAGAAAACAAACCAGUGCUUCCCAAGUUGCCUAUGAAUCACUGGGGGAUCCUGUUCACACAUAGACUCGAUUCAGUAGGUCUGGGGCAGGACCUGAGACUCUAUAAGUCCAGUGAACUCAUAGGUGAUGCAGCCUUGCUGGUCCAUAGACCACAUUUGAGUAGCAAGGAUGUUGCCAUAGACCGGAUGUUUGUGUCCCUGCAAAAUCCACAUAGAGAAGGCUAAUCCCCACAGUGGUGGUGAUUAAAGGUGGGGCCUUUCCGGAGUGAUUGGGUCAUGAGGGCACACCCCAGGAAUGGGAUCAGUGCCCUCAUGAAAGAGCUCCUUUGCCCCUCUGCCGUGUUAGGACUCAGUGAGAAGAUGGCCAUCUACGAACCAGGAAGCAGGCUUU